CACUGAUUGGUGGACUCGUGUGGUGUCUGACCUUCCCAUGUUAUCAUUUUAUUUGGUUUUCUUUUGGUCACCUACUCUACAGAAAAUAGUUUAUUUUACUCCUCAAUCUCACAUUUGGGCUCAAUGUGGAAACAUCAGAAGAAACCACAGAUUGGGGCCCCAGUGUGCUCCAGAUCGUCUGAGACUUGGUUUGCCCACAUCUCCGCUCCUCCAUUUGGUCUAGCCAAAUAUUCAUACACUAAUUUCCUUUGUAGGUCCAGUCUGGGUGUUGGGCUGGAGCAAUGAAAUGAAGAGGAUGCUUCAUUACUGCAGUCUACAGUUCAGCCAUACUGGAUCAUGGGGUGGUCACUCCAGGGAGGCAGGUUGGAGAGUUUCUCCUCAGUGGCUGUUUCUAUGGGCCAGCCCCAGGCUUUAAAGAAUCCAGACAGGUUCAUCUCCACAGUCUGGGAGAAAGUCUCAGCAUACAGGGCGACCCACAUGUGCCAGCUGCUGAGUUUCUUGCCCCCCUUAGCAUACUCCUCUGCUCGACGGUUUCGUUUUUCUGAAGUCAUAGCUGGAUGAGCCUGCAUUGAACGAGACAAAACAGCCAGGUCAGCAACGCCUCUCAUGAUGGCAUCCCAGUGUGCUGCCAACUUGUCGGGGUAAUCCAGAUCCCGAACAACAUCUGAUGG